CCUACGGGUGGCUGCAGUGGGGAAUAUUGGACAAUGGGCGGAAGCCUGAUCCAGCAAUACCGCGUGUGUGAAGAAGGCCUGAGGGUUGUAAAGCACUUUCAAUAGGAAGGAAUACCUAUCCAUUAAUACUGGGUAGACUGACAUUACCUAUACAAGAAGCACCGGCUAACUCCGUGCCAGCAGCCGCGGUAAUACGGAGGGUGCAAGCGUUAAUCGGAAUUACUGGGCGUAAAGCGUGCGUAGGCGGCUCGAAAGCCCGGGGCUUAACCUGGGGAUGGAAUGUGAUACUGGCGAGCUAGAGUUGAGUAGAGGGGAGUGGAAUGUCAGGUGUAGCGGUGAAAUGCGUAGAGAUCUGAAGGAACACCAGUGGCGAAGGCGACUCCCUGGACUCCAACUGACGCUGAGGUACGAAAGCGUGGGUAGCAAACAGGAGUAGAUACCCCGGUAGUC
rnacentral:rRNA from 1 species